rnacentral:rRNA from 1 species
UGGGGAAUAUUGCGCAAUGGGCGAAAGCCUGACGCAGCAACGCCGCGUGAGUGAUGAAGGCCUUCGGGUCGUAAAGCUCUGUCGGAGGGAACGAAUGCUCCUGAAGUUAACAGCCUCAGGAGGUGACGGUACCCUCAAAGGAAGCACCGGCUAACUCUGUGCCAGCAGCCGCGGUAAUACGAAGGGGGCUAGCGUUGUUCGGAAUUACUGGGCGUAAAGCGCACGUAGGCGGAUUGUUAAGUCAGAGGUGAAAUCCCGGAGCUCAACUUCGGAACUGCCUUUGAUACUGGCAAUCUCGAGUCCGGAAGAGGUUAGUGGAAUUCCCAGUGUAGAGGUGAAAUUCGUAGAUAUUGGGAAGAACACCAGUGGCGAAGGCGGCUAACUGGUCCGGUACUGACGCUGAGGUGCGAAAGCGUGGGGAGCAAACAGGAUUAGAUACCCCAGUAGUCCCUGAGCGGGCUGGCAAGGCGCAU